rnacentral:tRNA from 1 species
AGGGAUUUAGCUCAGUGGUGUGGGUUUCUGCCUCACAAGCAGAAGGUCCCGAGUUCAAUCCCCA